CCCUGCUCUGGGGAGGUGCCAUUCUGAGGGCCAGGAGUUUGAUUAUGUGUCACUCUGGCUGCUAUGGCCCCCUCCCAGGGUCUGGGC
rnacentral:pre_miRNA from 1 species